AUUUUGUCCCCAGUCGUAACGGAAACAAAUACUAAAAUAUUGUAAAUUCCUGUGGGAUGAAAUUCCUGUGAAGUUCGUUUUUGCACUUAGUGAAAGAGCGUGGGACGCCAGGAAACAUUCAGAUUUCAAGCCUUGCACAGGGGCAGAAUUCACAUUCAAUGAGGUCUGAGGGAAGGCUGCCUUUGGCCAGCAAGGUGCUCGCCAGCCCUGGCACUCAUCUGUGGCUCUCUUCCUUCUCCUCCCUGAUGCCCAGCUCCAGUAACAUGGCUGAAAACAGCCAGUGGUGGAAAUUCCGAGAUGAUCCUAGCAGGGCAGUCACAGGAGGAGCUGGCUAUCAAAGACCAUCCUACACUUCCCCUGCCUGGCCGACAGUUUUCACCUCCAAAUUCAGGUGGGAUUUGAAGGUGAUCCUUAUUCUCUAGAAACCCACAAAGGGGAAGAUUUUGGCUUUCCCUGGCUUCAGUGGAGCCUGUGGAACCACUGUUGGGAGCACGACUUCGGUGCUCCACUCACAUCCAGGACCCUCUCAAUAAAUGUGGCAAUUCUGCAUUUCCGUGAAUUGUA
rnacentral:lncRNA from 1 species